rnacentral:rRNA from 1 species
GUGUCAGCCGCCGCGGUAACACGUAAGGGGCAAGCGUUGUUCGGAAUUAUUGGGCGUAAAGGGUACGUAGGCGGUCCUGUAAGCCCGACGUGAAAUACUGGAGCUUAACUCCAGAACUGCGCCGGGAACUGUAGGACUUGAGUCAUGGAAGGGGAGUUGGAAUUCCAGGUGUAGGGGUGAAAUCUGUAGAUAUCUGGAAGAACACCGGUGGCGAAGGCGAACUCCUGGCCAAUGACUGACGCUGAGGUACGAAAGUGCGGGGAGCAAACAGGAUUAGAUACCCGCGUAGUCC